rnacentral:rRNA from 1 species
GAUGAACGCUGGCGGCGUGCCUAAUACAUGCAAGUCGAGCGAACAGACGAGGAGCUUGCUCCUUUGACGUUAGCGGCGGACGGGUGAGUAACACGUAGGUAACCUACCUAUAAGACUGGGAUAACUUCGGGAAACCGGAGCUAAUACCGGAUAAUAUUUCGAACCGCAUGGUUCGAUAGUGAAAGAUGGCUUUGCUAUCACUUAUAGAUGGACCUGCGCCGUAUUAGCUAGUUGGUAAGGUAACGGCUUACCAAGGCAACGAUACGUAGCCGACCUGAGAGGGUGAUCGGCCACACUGGACCUGAGACACGGUCCAGACUCCUACGGGAGGCAGCAGUAGGGAAUUUUCCGCAAGGGGCGAAAGCCUGACGGAGCAACGCCGCGUGAGUGAAGAAGGUCUUCUGAUCGUAAAACUCUGUUAUUAGGGAAGAACAAACGUGUAAGUAACGGUGCACGUCUUGACGGGACCUAAUCAGAAAGCCAAGGCUAACUACGU